GUGAUUUCAUUUGAUUUGCUCCCCAAAAUCGCAAAACGCUUGAGCUCUACGCCUCUGCCUCGCGGCCUCGGCUCCUCGCCAUCACCCACCACUCGCCACCAGGCUUGCUCCGGUCCAGACAUCAAUCGAUGGUGCGGUGGCGCCUCUGCAUCGCCACCACCUCUGCCUCGCCAAUUGCCACCGUGUUCACCCUGAAUUUUGUUUUUGCUUUAAUUUCCCUAAUUUUUCUAGGGCAAAACAUUAGGCGUUCUACUUGAUCACAUUGUUCCAACUAUCGGAAUAAAUAUCGGCUGUGUUGAAGACUUGAAGUUCCAAAUUCAAAACUUGUAUUUUGGGACCUUGGAGGGCAAGUGAGGCUGAAAGAUAAGAAGAUGGGGAGAGGUCCGCCUAGGAUUCAGCAUCCACCUGCAACACCGAAGAAGAAUCAGUUUGAUGAUGUUCCUCUGCAUGGAUGUGAGGGUAGUGAUAACUAUAAGGAAGAAGAUUAGGGAGAGGCUUCUUGACAAGAUUGAAGACCAGUGGGUAUCUUUCAUCAAUGGGAUUGGUAGAGGAAUCUUGAUCACUAAUCUGCAUUUAUUGAUGUCAUUAAGGGUUAACUGAUAUAGAUUAAUUGGAGUCUUUUGAGUUUUGAGGUUCUAAAUUGUUUGUCUUAUGCAGUUAUGCACUGUGAACAGGAAAUAGAGAAUAAAUAUUUUGCAUGGCCUCAUUAAAUAUAUCAAGUUAGCUGUUUGUGUGAGCAUUUGCAUUUUAUCUUUCAAGUGACAAGUAUUCUCUAUUGUAAGUUGUUUGCAUUGAGUGUUGCAGGUGUGAUUGAGCAUGUGAUGUUUCUUGAUAUAAAAGGUUGCCUUUGCCCUUGAAAUUUAAAGGGAAUGUUCCAUUUUCCCUAUAAAAGGUAUGCUAGAGUACAAGAACUCACUCGAUUCUAAAAAUAAUCUACUUCCAACCAGAUCAUUCUAGGUUGCAGUAAUUAGACGGGAUGGCGAAGAGUUCAUUCAAGCAACAAAAUGAACUUGGUUUGGUUGCUGCACAUCUAAUGUUCAGAGUAGCAGGCUUGGAGCUCAAAGACAGCCUCCUAUUUGUAGCCUACUGGUCAUGUGCGGAGUUUGUGUUUUUGCAGGGAUCACUUGUUAUAAAAAAUACUAUUGAAUAAUGUGCUAAAAAAUCACUUGUUAUCAAAUAUUAGUAGCUAUUAAUUAGUAUUAUCGAAUAUUAUUGAAUGUUAUUAUUUGAAUGUUACAUAGAGUUUAUUUAUGAUUGCAAUACACAUU